GACGAACGCUGGCGGCGUGCUUAACACAUGCAAGUCGAACGGAAAGGCCUUUUCGGAGGUACUCGAGUGGCGAACGGGUGAGUAACACGUGGGUGAUCUGCCCUGCACUCUGGGAUAAGCCUGGGAAACUGGGUCUAAUACCGGAUAGGACCGCACUUUAGUGUGUGUGGUGGAAAGAUUUUUCGGUGUAGGAUGAGCCCGCGGCCUAUCAGCUUGUUGGUGGGGUAAUGGCCUACCAAGGCGGCGACGGGUAGCCGGACUGAGAGGUUGGUCGGCCACAUUGGGACUGAGAUACGGCCCAGACUCCUACGGGAGGCAGCAGUGGGGAAUAUUGCACAAUGGGCGCAAGCCUGAUGCAGCGACGCCGCGUGGGGGAUGACGGCCUUCGGGUUGUAAACUCCUUUCGCCAGGGACGAAGCGUUUUGUGACGGUACCUGGAGAAGAAGCACCGGCUAACUACGUG
rnacentral:rRNA from 1 species